UGCGCAGGCGGAAAAUUAAGUCAGUGAUGAAAUCCUGCAGCUUAACUGUAGAACUGUUAUUGAUACUGAUUUUCUUGAAUUUAGUUGAGGUAGGCGGAAUGUGUAAUGUAGCGGUGAAAUGCUUAGAUAUUACACAGAACACCGAUUGCGAAGGCAGCUUACUAAGCUAACAUUGACGCUGAGGCACGAAAGCGGUGGGGAGCGAACA
rnacentral:rRNA from 1 species